GGGCCUGGAGAGCUUCUGGAUCCUGCAGAUAGAGCUCCUUCGCAUCUGAGACUCUUCCAUGACAAUCUCAGAGUCUGGUGUGUGCACACCUGGACAUCCUCUGCUUGCUGUGAGACGCCCCAGGAGUAAUUUUCUUAGCAGAAUCCAAAAGGUUUCUCUGCCUUCUGGAAGGGAUGCCUUGAAUUAUUCAACCUGCAGCACAGAUCUCUGGAGAACAUCCCCUUGUGGCUACUUUAAUCACUGGGAAGGUUCAGAGUCAGUUAUAAUCAAGCCGAAGUCAACGUGGAAAUGUUCCUCUCUGGCUUGAAAACAAGAUCAAAAGGGAGCCCAAGGAGGAGGAG